UUCAUACUCCCUUCGUUUCAAAUUACUUGUCACAAGUAUGGAUGUAUCUAGAUGUAUUUUAGUUCUAGAUACAUCCAUUUUUGCGACGAGUAAUUUGGAACGGAGGGAGUAAGUA
rnacentral:pre_miRNA from 1 species